UUUGUGUGAGUUUAUACUUGAAACAUUGAGGACAAUGUUUGAUUUAAGUGUGGGGGGGUAACCAUUGUUUUGCAUAAAAUUCGUAGGAGUUUAUCACCCAUUACUUCUAAUGUUGUGCCUUGCUCUUUUAAGUGUUUUCAAGCUGUUUUGGAGUGUUUCAGUGUAUUUUGACAUAAAAAUCCAAAAAUCUCAUAAAAAUUCGAAAAAUUAUUUUGAACAAACCGAAAAGAGAGUUGUUUUUAUUUGUUUAUUUUGUGUCUUAGGGUACCUUCCAACAUAAUGAUGAGGAUUUGGUUUUUAAUUACAUGACUGUUAAAGAGAAUUAUAAACAUGGAUGAAAGUUUGAUAUGCUCUUUGGUUUAUACUUGGU
rnacentral:lncRNA from 1 species